AGUCGUAACAAGGUUUCCGUAGGUGAACCUGCGGAAGGAUCAUUAAAAAAUACAUUACACAUUGUUUUUGCGAACAAAAAAAUAAAUUUUUUUAUUCGAAUUUCUUAAUAUCAAAACUUUCAACAACGGAUCUCUUGGUUCUCGCAUCGAUGAAGAACGCAGCGAAUUGCGAUACGUAGUAUGACUUGCAGACGUGAAUCAUCGAAUCUUUGAACGCACAUUGCGCCUCGAGGCAUUCCUCGAGGCAUGCCUGUUUGAGCGUCGCAUCCCCUCUAACCCCCGGUUAGGCGUUGCUCCGAAAUAUCAACCGCGCUGUCAAACACGUUUACAGCACGACAUUUCGCCCUCAAAUCAGGUAGGACUACCCGCUGAACUUAAGCAUAUCAA
rnacentral:misc_RNA from 1 species